GCGAUGCAUGAUGUGUCAUGUUUUUCUUCUCUUCUUCUUUAAAUCCUUUGGUGCCAGGAUGAAAACUGGGCUUGGAUUCCAGGAUGAAAACUAGGCUCUCUUUUUUUUGAAUUCUUUGGUGCCAGUAUGAAAACUGCUCUCUUAAUUGAAAUUAAUUUUUGGCCAAGUUCGAAAUCCAAAUAGCUAGACCCAGUUGUUUUUGUCUGUAGGUUCUUUCUAGUUCCCUCAUAUUUGCAAUAUAUUGAGCAUAUUAUCUAUGUAGACACAAAUUCUGCUCAUACGAAGAUCUUGUUGCUCUUUUUGCAUGGCCAACUAUGAAAAUGUCUAAAGAGAACGUUANAAGGUCCAUUCAUUCAUCUUCUCUUCAAACACGAGGUCACUCAAUGUUAAAGACUCAUUCCUGUUGACGGAAGCUUUAAACAAUGCUAACAUGCCUUUCCUC
rnacentral:lncRNA from 1 species